rnacentral:rRNA from 1 species
GAUGAACGCUAGCUACAGGCUUAACACAUGCAAGUCGAGGGGCAGCACAGUGUAGCAAUACAUGGGUGGCGACCGGCGCACGGGUGCGUAACGCGUAUCCAACCUUCCCGUUACUCAGGGAUAGCCUUCCGAAAGGGAGAUUAAUACCUGAUGGUGUUGAAAUUUCGCAUGUUAUUUCAACUAAAGAUUUAUCGGUAACGGAUGGGGAUGCGUGACAUUAGGUAGAUGGCGGGGUAACGGCCCACCAUGCCUACGAUGUCUAGGAGUUCUGAGAGGAAGGUCCCCCACACUGGAACUGAGACACGGUCCAGACUCCUACGGGAGGCAGCAGUGAGGAAUAUUGGUCAAUGGUCGGAAGACUGAACCAGCCAAGUAGCGUGAAGGAUGAAGGUUCUAUGGAUUGUAAACUUCUUUUAUACGGGAAUAAAACCACCUACGUGUAGGUGCUUGUAUGUACCGUAUGAAUAAGCAUCGGCUAACUCCGUGCCAGCCGCCGCGGUAAUAC